rnacentral:lncRNA from 1 species
UCUUGUUUUCUCACCAACUAGACCAGAGGCUCCUCUAGGGUCCCCCACGUUUUCCUGUUUCAACGCUUGGGCCCACGAGGAGCUCAGUACCAGUGGGAACACAGCGGGAAGGGAACAGGACUCAUGGACCUGCAGUGGAUCCGCUCACCUUUGUCUCAGUCAUGUGUGGAAACUAACCAGGUAGAGAAUAGUUUUUGACUUGGCUUUAAGCAGAAUCCCACGGCAUCUUCUAGGUUGGCCGUGAAUGGAGGGAACAGCAAGGCCAGACCGUGGUGAGGGGUGAGCAGGGGCCUCUGAAGCAGCUAUUGAUGAUUAACCAGUGAGGAUCGCUGACCACUGCACCUUGUCACAUUCACGUGUCUGGACAGGUGAGGGCUGCUUUGCCCUGGUCAAUACUGAGAACAUAAACCCUCGUUCGUUACUGCUCAGCUGGACUUUCCUGGUGAUACUGAAAGCCCUUAGGAGGUAAAACGGCUAAUGUUUAGGCUACUUAGUAUCUUAAUUCUAU